rnacentral:misc_RNA from 1 species
UCCGAUUUGUCACCGGCAGUCUCCUAUGAGUCCCCGACAUAACUCGCUGGCAACUAAAGACGGGGGUUGCGCUCGUUGCGGGACUUAACCCAACACCUCACGGCACGAGCUGACGACAGCCAUGCAGCAUCUGUGGUGCACCCUCGAAGGUCACACGUUUCCGUGCGCUUGCAGCACCAUGUCAAGCCCAGGUAAGGUUCUUCGCGUAGCAUCGAAUUAAAGAACAUGCUCCGCUGCUUGUGCGGGCCCCCGUCAAUUCCUUUGAGUUUCAGCCUUGCGGCCGUACUCCCCAGGCGGGGCACUUAUCGCGUUAGCUGCGGCACCGAAGGGGUCGCUCCCCCCGGCACCUAGUGCCCAUCGUUUACGGCGUGGACUAC